UGCCAACAUUUUUUCACUGCAUAUGAUGC
rnacentral:sRNA from 1 species